rnacentral:rRNA from 1 species
CCUACGGGUCGCAGCAGUGGGGAAUAUUACACAAUGGGCGCAAGCCUGAUGCAGCCAUGCCGCGUGUGUGAAGAAGGCCUUCGGGUUGUAAAGCACUUUCAGCGGGGAGGAAGGCGGUGAGGUUAAUAACCUCAUCGAUUGACGUUACCCGCAGAAGAAGCACCGGCUAACUCCGUGCCAGCAGCCGCGGUAAUACGGAGGGAGCAAGCGUUAAUCGGAAUUACUGGGCGUAAAGCGCACGCAGGCGGUCUGUCAAGUCGGAUGUGAAAUCCCCGGGCUCAACCUGGGAACUGCAUUCGAAACUGGCAGGCUAGAGUCUUGUAGAGGGGGGUAGAAUUCCAGGUGUAGCGGUGAAAUGCGUAGAGAUCUGGAGGAAUACCGGUGGCGAAGGCGGCCCCCUGGACAAAGACUGACGCUCAGGUGCGAACGCGUGGGGAGCAAACAGGAUUAGAUACCCUU